CCGCGGGCACUGACAGCGCAAGGGCCGGCCGGCCGGCCUGCCGCGCUCAGAGGCUUUUAUUAAGGUUGCACAGGCACGCCUGGUCGGAGGCCGACUUGACAGGAAUGCGAGCGUGUGCCCGCGCGGCGGCUGGCCCGGCCCGGCAGAUCGUCUUACACCCGGGCUGGUGCUCGUGACCUCGGUCCUGCAGGCCCCGCCCUCCGCAGCCUCGGGGAACCAAUAACCAGGGCGGUCCACCUUAACACACUCAGUGCACGGGGCGGUCCACCUUAACGCGCUGAGAACCCGGGCGGUCCACCUUAAGGGGCUACCGACCCCCUAACCCGCUGCCCCCCUAAAGUUCCUGUGUCCCGGAGCAGGAAGAAGGGUGGCUGGACUCCCGCGAGACUGUUUGCUGGGAAAUGAGAAAGCCGCGAAAGCAUUGCACUUCGUUAAAAACCAUUCCUUCGGACUCUGGGGAAGUAGACGGACGGACGCUCUCUCCGGACAGAGGACGCUUUCUGUCCGUGUGUUCGCGGAGCCUUAGGGCCCAGGGAGGCCGGAGAACCAGAGCCCCUACCCUGACUGGCCUCCGGCCACCGGCCGAGCCCAGGGGCUGCACCUGGCCCCCUGCCCACACAGUCCUGGCGGAGCCCCUGUCCCUGCAGCGAGGGGCGGGCGGCCGGUCACUGCCCAGGCUCCUGCAGGAGCUGUCCACACCCGCGGGCCCUCAGGAGGAGGACAGGCUCUGCGGGCUUCCCGUGGGCACCGGGCCGGGACAUACGGAGCGUGCUCAUCUCGGCCCCGCCUGAGUGCGGGUGGGAGUGGGGUUUCAUUGCCUCCACCCAGCCGGGUGCAGAAGCUCAGGGGCAGCAGUGAGGCCUGGGCCUGCAGGGAGAAGCCUGAGGUGAGGCGGGACAGCUCCAGGAAGGGAGGCCGCCAGCCCUUCCCAGUGAGCAGCUGCUUCCCGCAUGCACAGAGGCGCAGUGGGGACAGCCCUGCAGCCUGUCCUAAGAGCGAGACUCUUGCCUGUGCAGCACAGUGACUGCAAGCGUCCUGUCUGUAGGCUGCUCAGCACCGUCUGUUCUCUUCGUUCCAGCAGCCCAGGAUGUGGAGAGGUGCCUUCCCUGCUAUCUAUAGGGAAACUGAGGCACAGAACCUACUGCUCCUAACUCCCAGUGCAAACCUGUCACUGCUUGGCCCUGAGAACUUUUCCCUUCCAAAGGAAAGAAAAGGAGAUAUGGGAAUUUCCUGAGGGCAACAUAAAUACCCAAGAAAGGAAAGCCUGAAAUACAAGAUAAAAAUCAAGGUGGACUCUGGGCAUGGUGGCACAGGCCUGUAAUCCCAGAGGAAGGCUGAGGCAGGAGGGUCCCAAGUUCAAGGCCAGCCUGGACAACUUUGCCACUCAGGGACACCCUGUCUCAAAUUUUUCCUAAAAAGGACUGGGAAUGUAGCUCCAUGCGAAGGCCCUGGGUUCAUUCUGCCCACACCCUUCACCCCACUCAGACAGAGAGCAAAAGAGAAACUGACUUAUUUCUUUGCCAGAAAAGCAGAAACCAUGACACUGGAAGUACUAGUGUCAACCUGGAAAAAAGUCUGAAGGCUGAUUUUGAGCAAUCGGGAAACACGGAGAUACUUGGCGGCCAUGCUGAGGAGCAGAGGAAGGGCAGGAGGCCGGGGCUGGGGAGGGGCCAGCCUGCGUCACAGGAGGCUGUGUUGCUACUCGGGAUGCUGUGCAGCAGCCCAGGGUGUGGGCAGGAUGGGAGGACCAUCGCAGGCUGCUUGUUCUUCACUCCUCUGAAAGGCUCUAAGUGAUUCCACCCUCCUGAGUUCCAGAGACUGCAUCCUCUGGACGGCCGGGCUCUGGGCUGGGGAAUGAGGCUAUGAGGUUCUGGACUCCCAUGCUCACACAGCCCUGUAAAUGCCUCGGAGCGGCUCUCCCUGCAGCUUUCCAGGCCCUCCCCCAGCCUCUCCGAGCCGAGCCCACUCUCGGGUUUCUUUCUGUUUCUGUCUGCGAUCGCCCCCUCCGCUGUGAGCUCUUGCAUGAUCUCCCUCUUUAGGCAUGGAUUCCCCAGCGCUUUGUCUGACAGGGCAGGAGAAUGGAUGAGGGAAAGGGCCGAUGAUUGCAGGCCGCCAACGCUGGUUUCGUUGGUGCUGUUGCCUGGGGUCUGCAGAGGAGAGGCUGGGGGUGAAGAAAACUUAUCCUGAAGAAGCCAGAGGAAAAACCCAGGGCAUGGGGGGAUGAAAUGUGUAAGCCCCGUGGCCUUUGCUGUGGCAGAGCAGGAAUCUGACCCCUGAUGGAUCCACGGUCUCAUCCCACUGAGGAUAGAGCUUGAAGGAGCUCUUGCGCUCAGGAGAGCAAACAGCUCUUAGAAUGCAGAGACAGGGACUGCAGGGCACCUAGAGCCCUGUAACGAAGCUUGGCCUCCAGUUCAUGCUACGCUCUUCCAGAAGAGAGCUGAAAUGAAGCCGCAAUGCCCGGUGUAGCUGUCCCACCCGCUCCCCGCCAGACAGUGUGCUCACGCUCAGCUCAGUCCUCUCCCAGUGGUCAGUCCCAUACCGCACAGCCUGUCCAGACAUCAGCGACACCCCCUGCUCUCCAGCACGAUGGACCAGGAUACAGCAAAGCAGGGUUUACUUCCCAAACCCCACCGGCACUGAGAUGCAGUCUCCCUCAGGAACAAGGUUGGCUCCAUAUUCACUCACGCUUCGUUCAACACGCGCGCGGCUGCCCACUCUGGAGAUGGAGCACCUAGCAGUGAACCCCCUGCCCCCACACACAGCUGUAUUCCAACAAGGAAAGGUGGGAUUUGGACGGUGACUGGAUCAAGCAGGCUCUCACUUCUCCAGUGGAUUCAUCAUCGAUGGGACCAUAACUGGACAGAAUCUCUGGGAGGUGAUGAAUGGCAGGAACCUGAGACAAGAAGAAGCAGGUUCCAGGCCAGCCUGCUUGACAACAAACCAAAAGAAUCAUCGGACAGAAGCAGCUGCAGUGUGCUCACGGCUGCCCACGGCCCUCGUCUGCAUGGGAAGGGCCUCAGCUCCCUUCGCAGGCGAAGUGGGAGCGCGUGCUGAGGGACGCACACGCAGGCAGGGCCGCGCAGCCGUGGACAGCGGGAGGAGGCUCCCCCGCACUGAUGAGCUCUCUGCGUUUAGAGCACAGCGUCAUGCACUUCCACGCGGGACUGCCGGGACGCUGCCCGUGUCUGGUGUGCGCACACUGACGCGAGAGAGGCGGCUUUCUGCACAUCUCCUGUCCUUCACUUCGCAGGCGGAUGCUGUCACGCGGUCAUUGUGAUGGAAAACUUGUAGGACUACAGGAGGGGACAGGCGUGGGUAUUCUCAAAAGUCUUAUCGAGUGAUGGUGCUCUGGCUGAAACACUGAUUUUAUUUGGUUUUGGGGACUAUUAAAAGCUUAAAACUAAAAAAGUUUUAAAAAACCCAAAGCAAACUGCAAAACAUAUAAAACUAUGAAGCAGGG
ensembl:lncRNA